AUUCUUAUUAUUUCUUAUUCAGGGCCUUCCUUAAGACUCAAAGUACAAUUUUUUGAGAUCCUGUCCUUCAGUGGGCAGAGUG
rnacentral:snRNA from 1 species